ACAUGCUUACAACAUAGCGUUAAUGCACUAGAUCCCAUUAGAAAUCCAUGGUUAAGUGUGCUCGAGCUAGAGUAGUACUGGGAUGGGUGACCGCCCAGGAAGUCUUAGUAUUUUACAUGCC
rnacentral:rRNA from 1 species